GUCCCCGGGAAACUGCCCGCUCCGAAAUGCGGGCGUCGGGGGAGCGGCGGAGGGGGCCAGGGGACCCCACCGGAAUGAGUGCCUGUCCGCAGCGACUGGGGGAGAAAUUAUGUGAAUAAUUCAGCCCCUCCAACAUCCCCCUGCCCCUCAACUUCCCGCUACCAAACCAAAACUCGUGCUUCAGUUAUACAAGUAAUUACUGUACAAGGUGUCCAUGCCACAGUUCUCCACUGACUUUCUAGAGAGUCCAUGUCAAAGGACCCACACUGAAAGAUGUUGAUGGCUGCAACUUUUCUCCUUUGUUGUGUGUGGGUACGUGGGUACUAGUGCCGCAGUCUCUCACACACACGGCAUCUAUUCAUUUAAACUACAGUACAGUGUUUUGUAUAUAUUAUCAUGUGCCCGGCAAUAUGCUGAGUCCUCUAAGGACGGAGAGUCUAGCUGGGAUGAAAGAUGAUCAAUAACUAUCAUAAAAAUCUGAACGUUAUGAGCGGAGAAAUACAAGGUGCUAUGAAAACAGAAAGGACUACUGUUGCACGGGUUAGGUUUUGUUUUCUUGGGGGAGGCGGGCCGCGAGAGGUUGGCCCAGUUUCUGCAACUGUUUUUACUUUCUCCUUUCCCAGAGGCUAAAAGCUAGUUCAGGAAUGAACAGCAGAGUGGCAGUGAAGACAAACUAAAGUAAUACUGACCCACUUUUUUCCACUAAUAAGGAUAAAAGCAUAAAGUUAAAACAAACUUAAACCCCUAGAGGGAGAUAAUGAGAGGAUUGAAAGAAGAGAGUAGGGACCGGAUGUAGACAACAUAAACAAGAAAAAAAAACCCACAUAAAAGUCCUGUGAAGUGAGAUAAAUUUUUUUUCCCAUGUUAACACCCGGAAGUAGAAGCUGCUUUGAAGUUUCAAAUCACAUUAUGUGCUAAGAACUUCGGGGAAUUAUCUUUUUGGAUUUAGGGAUGAAUCCUUUCCCCCUUAAAAAUGCUGCAUGCUGACAUCUUUCUCUUAUUUUGUUUGGCAAAGUUAAAUGCAUCUACAGUUAUAUCCAACGAUCGUACGUGUCAAUCAGGCUUUUCCCAUGCCUCUAAAAUUACCAGGACCCGUAAAUUAGCAACAAUUAUGCUCUACGCGUAUUUAACACUUGUUUACCAACCAAGAAUGCAAAUAUACAUAACAAGCUUUCCGUUAGAACAAGUGCGCUUUGUUUAAAAGCACUGUUAAUGAGGCUUUUUAGAUUUGUCCAAGUCAAACUUGGAACUUUAUAAUAUAGCAAGAUGUAGCAUCAUUUUCAGAGUUCUUUUUAAGUUAAAGAGAAACACUGAUAUUUAUACAAGGCCUAUUUAUAUGAAAGGAUUUUCAUAUACUUGCCUCAUCUAAAUUAGUACUUUAGUAAAUAUCAAAAAAUCACCAAAAAAGGGAGUCUAUGAAAUGGCAUUCUGAGUUUCAGCAUUAAUACUUAUACCUUCAUAUCAUUAGA
rnacentral:lncRNA from 1 species